UACGAAGGGGGCUAGCGUUGUUCGGAUUUACUGGGCGUAAAGGGCGCGUAGGCGGAUAGCUAAGUCAGGGGUGAAAUCCCGAGGCUCAACCUCGGCACUGCCUUUGAUACUGGUUGUCUUGAGUCCGGGAGAGGUGAGUGGAACUGCGAGUGUAGAGGUGAAAUUCGUAGAUAUUCGCAAGAACACCAGUGGCGAAGGCGGCUCACUGGCCCGGAACUGACGCUGAGGCGCGAAAGCGUGGGGAGCAAACAGG
rnacentral:rRNA from 1 species